rnacentral:tRNA from 1 species
UCCCGGUGGUCGAACGGCGGGAUCACGGCCAUCCCGCGCUCGGCGGCGAUGCGUUCGGUGGCGUCGGCCCGUUCGCUGCCGGGUACCAGGACC